AAUGAACGUUGGCGGCGUGGAUUAGGCAUGCAAGUCGAGCGCGAACCUCGCAAGAGGUAAGAGCGGCGAAAGGGAGAGUAACGCGUGGGUAUCUACCCUCGGGACUGGGAUAGCUGCGGGAAACUGCAGGUAAUACCAGAUGACGUCCCCGGACCAAGGGUGUGAUUCCGCCUGAGGAUGAGCCCGCGUCCUAUUAGCUUGUUGGUGGGGUAAUGGCCUACCAAGGCAAUGAUGGGUACUGGGUGUGAGAGCACGACCCAGCUCACUGGGACUGAGACACUGCCCAGACACCUACGGGUGGCUGCAGUCGAGAAUCUUCGGCAAUGGGCGAAAGCCUGACCGAGCGACGCCGCGUGUGGGAUGAAGGCCUUCGGGUUGUAAACCGCUGUCAGAGGGGAGGAAUGGGCGGAGGGUAAUCUCUUCGUUUUGACCUAUCCUCAGAGGAAGUACGGGCUAAGUUCGUGCCAGCCGCCGCCGUAACAC
rnacentral:rRNA from 1 species